GCAAAUUUAAGUUUUCUCUUUCAGGUUUACAGUUUGAAAUAGCAGGUUGUCAUAUGGUGUAUUCCACUCAGGAGCCACACAUACCACUAAGACCUACCAAGGUACUUCCAUUUGUACCUAGUCUUCAGGUUGCUGUUUAUCUUAUCAAAAUUUCUGCACGCCGUCUACACCAGACUUAGUGCACAAGGAGAAGACAGCAAAAAGGUCCCAAGAUGUACAGUUUCACGGUCUUUUAAAGCCAUUUCAUCCAAUUAAUUCUUAAAACAUUCUUUAUUUCUCCUUAUCUACCAAUACCUAACCAUCUGUCUACCACACAACAUCUGCACUGAGACUCUCCCCAAAAUGGAGGAGAAGAAGGAGAAGAAGGAGGAGGAGAAGAGAAGGAGAAGGAGAAGGAGAAGGAGAAGGAGAGGGAGAGGGAGAGGGAGAGGGAGAGGGAGAAGGAGAAGGAGAAGGAGAAGGAGAAGGAGAAGGAGAAGGAGAAGGAGAAGGAGAAGGAGAAGGAGAAGGAGAAGGAGAAGGAGAAGGAGAAGGAGAAGGAGAAGGAGAAGGAGAAGGAGAAGGAGAAGGAGAAGGAGAAGGAGAAGGAGAAGGAGAAGGAGAAGACCAGGGAAUGCCCGAAAUCCUCCGUCUUGUCUCCUAUCCACCUCCAUGCUAAAAACCAAAACUUUAAAUUUUUUACCUUGUGAUAAACUACACUACUAUCUGUUUCACACACUUGUAGAUUCUAAUUCAUCCCAAAGUCUUGGAAGCUUUCUCCAUGGAUGAAGGUUAAAAGCAGUGUUUUCCUGGGAAUCAGGACUUGCCAGGACAGACAGGGGAAUAUUCCCUGUGCCCUGGGUUCCAACAAGACACCACUACCUAGACUAUGAAACUAAUGCUUCCUGUGUAAACACAUUUCCCAUCUAUCCAGGGGUCCUGCAGGGAUGGCAGUGGAGGCAGAUAUCCCCAAAGCUGUGUCAAGUGCUGCGAGUACAGCUCGUUAUCACUCAGCAGUACCACACACCCUGACACACAUUUCUAUUCCCACUGUGGUUUUUAAUGCCUCCUUACAAAUAAGCUUCUCAGAGGAUUGAUAGUCAGCUUUUUCUGCUAUACAGAACAAGUUCAAAUGAGGCAGCCUCAAAAGUCCCUGAAAGUCCUGUGCUCUGGCAUUUGUUUGACAGGCAGGACAAGGAAAGUGACUUUCCUGAGUACCAUUGUGAGCAUGUUCCUUGUAGUCUGAACAGUGAGGCCAAGAAAUCAAAAUCUAUGGGGAUGCUCUAGCUCCCUGUCCACUGGUGGGUUUUGUGGAAAAUGCCUGUUUGCCAUUCCCUGGGACAAUGGUGCUGCUGGUGGAAGACUGAACCAGAGUUGAAUACCGAGUUCUGCAAGGUUCAGAGUGCUCACCCUGAAAAGCUCUGAAGCAUUUUUCAUAUUAAUAUGUCCAGUGAAAUCAGCUUUGAAAAGUUAAAUACAUCUUGUUAAACUAAAUUUUGACAGCAGGAUGAUAUCCAACACACAGUGUCACCAUCUCCUUUUGAGCUUCCCUUUGGGACAACACAGUAUUUCUAAGUACUCUUUGUUUCCUUCAUUUGUUGUAUGUACAGAUUUUUGGUCAGGUUACCUCACCAUGGGAAGACCUAUCAUAUUAAAACAAUUAUUUUGUGCUUCAGUUCAUAGAUAAAUAACAUAUAUAUUAAUACAGACACUUGCAAACACUUAAGUGAGUUAGGUGCUCAGCUGUGACUGAAUUUUUUUGUGCUCUGUACAUAAAAUUAAUACUAGGACCUUAUGGAGAUUCCUGAUUUAGAAGUCUUACAGAAUUAAAUUUACGGGGCAUGUAACUUCUACUCUAAGAAUUAUAUUUUCGAAGCUGUCUAUGUAAAGCUGACUAACACAACAAAUGACUUGAGAAAUGCUGUAAGUGUGUUAGUGCUACUGAUUUAUAGCAAAGAAAGCAUGUGUGAAAAUCAAAGGCUCAUUACCAUCAGCUUCUUGCCAGUUUUUCCCAGAUGCCCUAUUCGAUAUACAACAAGUUGGGUCAGGCAAAUUCUGAUUUAUUUGAAGGUAUCUUUGGCCUUAGCAGUUUGUGAAAAGACAGUACCUUGCAGGCCUAAAACACUGACCUUGAGUAAUGAAGCUGAAGAGAUAUAUUUAUAUAAAUAUACAGGCAUAUGUGUAAUAUAUAUUAAUAAUAUAUAUUUAUAUAAAUAUACCUGUAUGGCUAUAUUCAUGCAAGUGUUGAUUUAAAAUAAAGUAACAAUGAUCUUUCCUAACUUUUACUUUCACAAACCAUUUAAUCAACCAAUAAACCUGCCAAUCUAUCUCUCUGUGUGGGGAGAGAUCAAGACAUUUAAGCCAACUAGGAAUACACAAUUUAGCAGCUGUGGCACUGCAAAACAGCGUGUACUCUACAAAUUUAAAGAAAACAAGAAAAAAGCAUUAGCUAAAGCAAGCAAUCUCAGCCUUUUUGCUGGGAGUCUUAAUUUAGAAAAACAGCUCAGGAAGAAUAAUUGUUCCCAUUCGUUAUUUUGCUUGGAUGACUUUUACAGAACUGUUUUUGCCAUCAAUUGGCAAAUUCAGUGGAAGAAACCAAUUACCCUAUUAUUAAAGCAUGUUUGCAGCAAACAAUAGAUAUUCCAUACAAGCUGUGCUUAUCCAGCCAUUUUUCCUACCAACUUGUAAGAGCAUUAUGCCUUCAUCCCAACAUGCCUUUGUGUAACUGGUGUUUCAUGGCAGGGUGGAUCUCCAGCAGAACCUGGCUCUGCUGGCUCCACGUGUACCCCAGUGGGCUCUGUUCCAGGCCAGGGCAGCCUCAGUGACUGAAACUUGUGACCUUCUCAGCAGGUUUCCUGCACUGCUCACAGUGUCUCUGCAGCUUGGUUCCAGCCUCUCUCACUUCUUCUCCUAGGGUUAUUUUCUGUCAGCAUUCCUGUCACAGGCUGCCUCUGUUUUCACAGGUGGCAAUAUAAGAAUGUUUAAAUGUUUCUUCUGGGCUAAUAUUUUGCUGCUUUUCCCUAUUAAUGAGAGUUUGAUUUUUAUUUCACUUCAGUGUUUAAUAAGUUUAUAAUAAAAGCUGACUUGGGAAUUGACCUGAGUAUAAUUUUCAAAGUCAAGUAUUUAGAAUUAAAUUCAUCUUGCUUAA